AAACAAAUGUAAUUUCUUUACAAAUAGAGCUUUUCCAGCUGCCAUAUGCACAAAAAUCUUCGCACCAUGCAGAAGGUGCGCCGUCUGUUUUACUCCGCCGGGCCGGCCGCCGCAUGCCCAACGCCAACAAACGGACGUCGUUUUCACAAAACUCAUAGAGCCACCAUCAGUUGAGCACGUUAACUAUCUGACAUAAUUCCUGAACAAAACUUGCAUUAUUGUUGCUGCAGUCCCCGAUGCACUCAUAUUUUCAUCCACAAGUCAUUUUCCCAAUUGUUACACUCCAAUAAUUAACAGUUUUACAGCACCCAAAAAAUCCAAAAUUCAUUUAACUGUCUCUUUGCUGACGAAUCAUGCUCUGUCCGUGAAUAGUGUUUCACAGCUUUGAGUCCGCUCCACCUAUAUACACACACGUCUUCUAGCAAUAAAUCAAACAUAUAAUCGACGCAUAAUUCAUGCGAGGCUCAUUGUUGUGCGAACUGGUACUUGGCGUCACUGAACUGUUGCAGGUGUCUCCAUUUAUCAGUCACACACCGAUUGAUUUCUCAUCUCAAUAGGAAAUAUCGCCAUAGAAAGGGUAUUUUAUAAAACUCUCUAGUUUUGAAAAUGUGGUUUUUUAUCCCAUUUAGGAAAUAUUAAAAUCAUUUGCACUCCAGGUGAUCCA
rnacentral:lncRNA from 1 species